AUAGCUCAGUGGUAGAGCGUGUGCUUUGCAUGCAAAAAGUCCUGAGUUCAAUCCCCAGU
rnacentral:tRNA from 1 species